UAGUUAAAUAAAGGUAAAAAAGAAAAAUAAAUAGACUUUCACAUUGUAGGUCUGUUGUUAAAACAAUAUAAUCAUAAUAUGUGCCAUUUAGCAGAUGCUUUCAUUCAAAGCGACUUAGUAAUUUGCACAAACAUUUUACGUAUGGGUUGCCCAACGCAUCAUUGCUCCAACGCAUCAUUUACUAAACAAAAUCCCGCAAACGUGAGAGCGCCAGAAAUAAACAUCGCGAGAUUGUAAAUAUGUGUGAGAGUCAGAUUUGAAAGCAGACGUUUUCAUCCAAAACGAUUUACAGUAAUGCGUACAUACAUUUUACCUAUGUAAAAUGAGACUUUUUCAAAGGUUUUUCCGAUGCAAUUUUUUUACGUCUUUCUUUAUAAUACUGUAUGUAUUCAAUAAUUUCGAAUGGAUCACUUCCCAAUGGGCACAUACAUCAAUUCAAUUUUUAUUUCACGUUGGUUCAACGUAAUUUCAUUGAAAUUACAUGGAAACAACAUUGAUGCCCAGUGGGUUUAUUGUGUCACAGUGAAUUUUAUAAUCUGCAGUCAAUUUCAUUAUGUUUUCAUGUGCCAUGAUUCUGACAUUUGACACAUGAUCAUCAUAGGAUUAGGCUAGAUAGUUUCAGUGGGGCAGUACAUGUAAUCUCAAUACAAUACGAUGUGCAUAUAAUGUACAUAUAGCCAAUAUAGCUAUUAAACCCAUGUUCAGUGAAUGCAAUCUGUGACGCAAGUGGCCGAAUAUGUUUGUGACGUUCCAUGGAACCCACCGUAUUGUUUAAAACUCGAUUCUGAUUGGCUUGCAGGUCAUUCUACAGUGUAAAUUAUAAAUGAAAACGUGCUUUUAUAUCAGUGUGACAGAUUCACAAUACCGAGCGUGUCUCAAACCGUCCCGCGCUUUUAUCUGCCUAAAGGUAUCUUCACGCACGACUGGAUAGGCCUUUUAGAUACGCUUGUCCAAGGCCCAAGACAUAAAGUUGCCUGAAAGCUGUGUAGCAAUAAUUCCUGCUCCUGACCCAUAGGAUGGUAAUCACAUACAUGAUUGGCUUAAUCAAGAAUCAUGGAUACCUUUCAUACCUCAUCACAAGUUGGAACUAGUGGUCAACAUUGGGACAAUGCAGCCCAAAAUAACAGGGCUGAAUAUUUUCAUGGAGUGAGCAAGACCUGCCAGCAGAGCUCACUGGAGCAGGGAGACAUCCCGUCAUCCUUUUGGCGCCUGACAAAGUACACUUUUUUUCUUCUAAAUAACACUAUAGUAACAUCUUCUGCACAAAGUUACAUUCCUAAUAAGAUUGGUGUUAAGUGGGAAAGAAUCCUAAAGAUGGUCCAAUGGGCAUGGUCUGAAGCCUCUCGUCAUCUCAGUAUGUUGAACCACCUGAUUUCCUGCAGGCUUGAGAUUCAGAUCCUGCUGAACGAUGUUAAGCAGUCGAUUAACCACAUGCAGGGGACGCUGAACACCAUGCAGGGGCAGUGUAUUGAGUUGCAGACUGCCAUAUCUAAGGUAGUGUCAGAUGAGUCUCAGAUACAGAAGAAUAAGUCUAUGAUGGUAUGGUGAUAAUGAUUGAGAUGGUGAUUAUAAUAAUAACGACUAGCUUUACCCCACCCUACAGGCGGUAAAUCAUUGGAUCUGAUUAAUU